rnacentral:rRNA from 1 species
AAGGUUAAGCCUCACGGUUCAUUAGUACCGGUUAGCUCAACGCAUCGCUGCGCUUACACACCCGGCCUAUCAACGUCGUCGUCUUCAACGUUCCUUCAGGACCCUUAAAGGGUCAGGGAGAACUCAUCUCGGGGCAAGUUUCGUGCUUAGAUGCUUUCAGCACUUAUCUCUUCCGCAUUUAGCUACCGGGCAGUGCCAUUGGCAUGACAACCCGAACACCAGUGAUGCGUCCACUCCGGUCCUCUCGUACUAGGAGCAGCCCCCCUCAGUUCUCCAGCGCCCACGGCAGAUAGGGACCGAACUGUCUCACGACGUUCUAAACCCAGCUCGCGUACCACUUUAAAUGGCGAACAGCCAUACCCUUGGGACCUACUUCAGCCCCAGGAUGUGAUGAGCCGACAUCGAGGUGCCAAACACCGCCGUCGAUAUGAACUCUUGGGCGGUAUCAGCCUGUUAUCCCCGGAGUACCUUUUAUCCGUUGAGCGAUGGCCCUUCCAUUCAGAACCACCGGAUCACUAUGACCUGCUUUCGCACCUGCUCGCGCCGUCACGCUCGCAGUCAAGCUGGCUUAUGCCAUUGCACUAACCUCCUGAUGUCCGACCAGGAUUAGCCAACCUUCGUGCUCCUCCGUUACUCUUUAGGAGGAGACCGCCCCAGUCAAACUACCCACCAGACACUGUCCGCAACCCGGAUCACGGGUCCACGUUAGAACAUCAAACAUUAAAGGGUGGUAUUUCAAGGUCGGCUCCAUGCAGACUGGCGUCCACACUUCAAAGCCUCCCACCUAUCCUACACAUCAAGGCUCAAUGUUCAGUGUCAAGCUAUAGUAAAGGUUCACGGGGUCUUUCCGUCUUGCCGCGGGUACACUGCAUCUUCACAGCGAGUUCAAUUUCACUGAGUCUCGGGUGGAGACAGCCUGGCCAUCAUUACGCCAUUCGUGCAGGUCGGAACUUACCCGACAAGGAAUUUCGCUACCUUAGGACCGUUAUAGUUACGGCCGCCGUUUACCGGGGCUUCGAUCAAGAGCUUCGCUUGCGCUAACCCCAUCAAUUAACCUUCCGGCACCGGGCAGGCGUCACACCGUAUACGUCCACUUUCGUGUUUGCACAGUGCUGUGUUUUAAUAAACAGUUGCAGCCAGCUGGUAUCUUCGACUGAUUUCAGCUCCACGAGCAAGUCGCUUCACCUACGUAUCAGCGUGCCUUCUCCCGAAGUUACGGCACCAUUUUGCCUAGUUCCUUCACCCGAGUUCUCUCAAGCGCCUUGGUAUUCUCUACCUGACCACCUGUGUCGGUUUGGGGUACGAUUUGAUGUUACCUGAUGCUUAGAGGCUUUUCCUGGAAGCAGGGCAUUUGUUGCUUCAGCACCGUAGUGCCUCGUCAUCACGCCUCGGCCUUGAUUUUCCGGAUUUGCCUGGAAAACCAGCCUACACGCUUAAACCGGGACAACCGUCGCCCGGCCAACAUAGCCUUCUCCGUCCCCCCUUCGCAGUAACACCAAGUACAGGAAUAUUAACCUGUUUCCCAUCGACUACGCCUUUCGGCCUCGCCUUAGGGGUCGACUCACCCUGCCCCGAUUAACGUUGGACAGGAACCCUUGGUCUUCCGGCGAGCGGGCUUUUCACCCGCUUUAUCGUUACUUAUGUCAGCAUUCGCACUUCUGAUACCUCCAGCAUACCUCACAGCACACCUUCACAGGCUUACAGAACGCUCCCCUACCCAACAACGCAUAAGCGUCGCUGCCGCAGCUUCGGUGCAUGGUUUAGCCCCGUUACAUCUUCCGCGCAGGCCGACUCGACCAGUGAGCUAUUACGCUUUCUUUAAAUGAUGGCUGCUUCUAAGCCAACAUCCUGGCUGUCUGGGCCUUCCCACAUCGUUUCCCACUUAACCAUGACUUUGGGACCUUAGCUGGCGGUCUGGGUUGUUUCCCUCUUCACGACGGACGUUAGCACCCGCCGUGUGUCUCCCGUGAUAACAUUCUCCGGUAUUCGCAGUUUGCAUCGGGUUGGUAAGUCGGGAUGACCCCCUUGCCGAAACAGUGCUCUACCCCCGGAGAUGAAUUCACGAGGCGCUACCUAAAUAGCUUUCGGGGAGAACCAGCUAUCUCCCGGUUUGAUUGGCCUUUCACCCCCAGCCACAAGUCAUCCGCUAAUUUUUCAACAUUAGUCGGUUCGGUCCUCCAGUUAGUGUUACCCAACCUUCAACCUGCCCAUGGCUAGAUCACCGGGUUUCGGGUCUAUACCCUGCAACUUAACGCCCAGUUAAGACUCGGUUUCCCUUCGGCUCCCCUAUUCGGUUAACCUUGCUACAGAAUAUAAGUCGCUGACCCAUUAUACAAAAGGUACGCAGUCACACGCCUAAGCGUGCUCCCACUGCUUGUACGUACACGGUUUCAGGUUCUUUUUCACUCCCCUCGCCGGGGUUCUUUUCGCCUUUCCCUCACGGUACUGGUUCACUAUCGGUCAGUCAGGAGUAUUUAGCCUUGGAGGAUGGUCCCCCCAUAUUCAGACAGGAUACCACGUGUCCCGCCCUACUCAUCGAGCUCACAGUAUGUGCAUUUUUGUGUACGGGGCUGUCACCCUGUAUCGCACGCCUUUCCAGACGCUUCCACUAACACAUACACUGAUUCAGGCUCUGGGCUGCUCCCCGUUCGCUCGCCGCUACUGGGGGAAUCUCGGUUGAUUUCUUUUCCUCGGGGUACUUAGAUGUUUCAGUUCCCCGGUUCGCCUCAUUAACCUAUGGAUUCAGUUAAUGAUAGUGUGACGAAUCACACUGAGUUUCCCCAUUCGGAAAUCGCCGGUUAUAACGGUUCAUAUCACCUUACCGACGCUUAUCGCAGAUUAGCACGUCCUUCAUCGCCUCUGACUGCCAGGGCAUCCACCGUGUACGCUUAGUCGCUUAA